AGAACUCUUCACAAACAAAACCCACAUGUAUACGCAUUAAAUAAAUAGUAGGCCAUUCUUAAAUGAUCACACCGUAGAAGUAGUUGUGCUCUUAAUCAAUGAGAUAUUUUGUGAAUUAACCCCAUCAACUUGAUAGUUUUUUUUUACAAUGGAUAAACCUAUUUUUUUAUUAUUAUUAAAUAAUAUCAUCUCUGAACAUUAUUAUUCUUAUAAAUGACAC
rnacentral:lncRNA from 1 species